rnacentral:rRNA from 1 species
UACGUAGGUGGCGAGCGUUGUCCGGAUUUACUGGGCGUAAAGGGAGCGUAGGCGGACUUUUAAGUGAGAUGUGAAAUAUCCGGGCUCAACUUGGGUGCUGCAUUUCAAACUGGAAGUCUAGAGUGCAGGAGAGGAGAAUGGAAUUCCUAGUGUAGCGGUGAAAUGCGUAGAGAUUAGGAAGAACACCAGUGGCGAAGGCGAUUCUCUGGACUGUAACUGACGCUGAGGCUCGAAAGCGUGGGGAGCAAACAGGAUUAGAUA